UACGUAGGCAGCGAGCGUUGUUCGGAGUUACUGGGCGUAAAGGGUGUGUAGGCGGUUGCUUAAGUUUGGUGUGAAAUCUCCCGGCUCAACCGGGAGGGUGCGCCGAAUACUGAGUGACUAGAGUGCGGGAGAGGAAAGUGGAAUUCCUGGUGUAGCGGUGAAAUGCGUAGAUAUCAGGAGGAACACCGGUGGUGUAGACGGCUUUCUGGACCGUAACUGACGCUGAGACACGAAAGACGUGGGUAGCAAACAGG
rnacentral:rRNA from 1 species